rnacentral:rRNA from 1 species
CACGUAGGGCGCGAGCGUUGUCCGGAAUUAUUGGGCGUAAAGAGCUCGUAGGCGGCCUGUUGCGUCCGCUGUGAAAGCCCGGGGCUUAACCCCGGGUCUGCAGUGGAUACGGGCAGGCUAGAGGUAGGUAGGGGAGAAUGGAAUUCCCGGUGUAGCGGUGAAAUGCGCAGAUAUCAGGAGGAACACCUGUGGCGAAAGCGGCGCACUGGACCACAACUGACGCUGAGGCGCGAAAGCUAGGGGAGCAAACAGG